rnacentral:rRNA from 1 species
UUGCCUCAGUAACGGCGAGUGAAGCGGCAAAAGCUCAAAUUUUAAAGCUGGCAUCUUCGGUGUCCGCGUUGUAAUUUUGUGAGGCAUCUCCGGGUAGGGCGCCAGCCUAAGUUCCUUGGAACAGGACGUCACAGAGGGUGAGAAUCCCGUGCUUGGCUGGCUGUCCCCGCCCACGUGAGGCGUCUUCGACGAGUCGAGUUGUUUGGGAAUGCAGCUCAAAAUGGGUGGUAAAUUUCAUCUAAAGCUAAAUAUUGGUGGGAGACCGAUAGCGCACAAGUAGAGUGAUCGAAAGAUGAAAAGCACUUUGAAAAUAGAGUUAAAAAGUACGUGAAAUUGUUGAAAGGGAAGCGCUUGAGACCAGACUUCGGUAGGGGGUGAUCAGCCGUCCUUCUGGGCGGUGCACUUGCCCCCCUCCGGGCCAGCAUCGGUUGAGGCGGCGGGAUAAAGGUCCCGGGAACGUGGCUCCUUCACGGGAGUGUUAUAGCCCGGGUGAAUGCCGCCAGCCUCGACCGAGGACCGCGCCCGCAAGGGUUAGGAUGCUUGGCAUAAUGGUCUUCAGCGACCCGUCUU